AAGACUUAACUUCUAGUUUUUUUUUCUAAGUCUUUACUCGUCGUCUUCUUCUCUAAAAAAAGUUCUCUCAUCUCUAGAUCCACACCACCGCCUAGCCACAUACCUUUUCAGUUGACAUGGCCUCGUCUCCUCCGUCUUCCACCGUUAAAGCCUCAUGGAUUUGAAUCGGUGUGUCAAGGAGAUGAAUUCGCACAAGAUAAAUUGAAUCGGUAAGGAGAUCGGAAACCAGAUGGUGGUGACAAGAAGGAGAAGAAGUUCGAACGAGCCGCACCACCUGCUCGUGUUGGGAGGAAGCAACGGAAGCAGAAAGGACUUGAAGCGGCGGCUAAAUUUCAGACCGUGACUCCUACUAAAUGAAAGCUUCGAUUGCUUAAUAUAAAGCGAUUAGUACAUAAAUGAUUGGAUCAUGACCCUCUAUUUCCCUAAUUCGAGUAAGUUCCUUCAUCUUUCUUGAUUGGGUUGUUGAAAAAUUGUAACUUAAUGGUUCUACUCCAAGUUAACUGUUCUAAUUGAAAACUGGAAACUUGAGCAGAAAUACGAAGCUAGUCGAAAAGCUGAAUGAUGCAUACAAGAAAUUCAUGGAUUUGCCUAACGACUUAUUUUUCAGUUUUGUCUACGACUCUAGCAUGGAUUGUUGAGUGUUAUAUCUUUUUAAUAUGUCUUAUGCUUGCUUUGAUUUGUUGUUAAUAUGUCUUUUUAAGGAGAUGAAAUCCACCGAUAGCCUGGUAUGCUUCCACUUUCUCGUCUCUCAUGCUAGUAAAUUUAUGCUUGCUUUGAUUUGUUGUUAUGUAAUUGAUUUUAUUUUAAGGGGUUACGUUUUUAGAGUUCUAUGUGCACACAAGGUGUUCGACGAAUUGACUGUGAGACAGAAACUGAGAAACGACUCUCUCAACAUGUCUUCCUAUGAUGAUCUUUCAUGUUUGCUAAUUGAAUGUAAAAAUUUGACCUUUGCUUUUGUAGUCUAAAAUGGUGGACUAUAUCCUUGAAGUCUCUAAUCCUAUGAAACAGCACUUUGAGGUGAGUAAUAUUUUUUGUCUGUAAGCUCUUAGUGCUAAGAAGUUUGUAAUUGUGAUUUGGCAGCUCAUUUUAAUGUGGAGGGUUUUGGUUAUGUCCAGUUAACACUAUAACCUCAAGUUUUGUGAAUAGAAAAACGUCUAUAGAUUAAGACCACCACUAGGUAACUAGAAACUCUUCAUUCAAGAGAAUGGCUCUGCUUUCAUGUUCGAAGAGAGAUCUAUUAAUAAGAUGGUUGUUGGCAUUCUCUCUUCAUGCACCAUCAAAAGUGUGUUCUUGUAGACACUCAUGAUGUUGGUAAUAACUGUAAGGUCACAGCUUUUAUUGGAGGUAUAGAUCUUUGUGAUGGCCGCUAUGACACACCUGAUCUUGAAACUGUGUUUAAGGAUGAUUUUCACAAUCCUACAUUUCCUGCUGGUACUAAGGAUCCAAAACAGCCUUGGCAUGAUUUGCACUGAAUGAUAGAUGGGCAUGCGGUCAAUGCAAGAAGGACGUCAUUGUAAGGAGGACAUAGAGAACAUGACAUGGAAAUGGCAACAAUAGUCUAGAGUAUUGGAUUAAACUUUGCUAGGGCGGAUAAUGACCAAGCGAUCUUCCUCUUCCAACCUCUUCUUCUAUGAACUACAAAGUGAUGAUUUCAAGGUAAAAGUUAUGGCUGAUGGCACGUGAAUGCUUUGUUUAGGCGGUAAGAUUUAGAAAAGAAAAUUUGUUUGAUCAAGUUAGUUGAUUGUGUUUGGUAGAAUCUGUGAUUAUCGAUAGGGGAAGUUUGUUUCUCUUUGCCCCUUAUCUCAUAAAUUAGUACUCUUGUUAUUUAAGAGUCGUUGAUGUAUUUAUAUAAGAUUUGGUUUGGAUUA